AAGAACAUUCAUCGAUCAAAGGUUAUGCGGCUUGUCAAACCGACUUCCGUGUCCGUGUUCCGUUUCUUGAUGGAGUGUAAUGCGCGUUCGUUGUGUUUCAAUUGGUAGCCGCGGCCCACACGCGACUCGCGAUUCGUUCGAUCGAGCUUACCUCGCCCCUGUCGCGGUGAGGACGCGUGAACGCGACGAACGAGGCCGUUUUUAACGAGCUCGCGCGCCUACCCCGUGCACGCGGUCCCGCGUAAACGAGAGGCGGAGCAACUGCUUCCAAGAGGUCAGAGGCCACUACCAAUCGCAAUCUCCCGAUAACCACUCUUCUCACUGGCUCCUCUCCUCGGAUCAACGCUGAAGCGCCACUUUUUUCCUUUCUAUUUACACGUACCGAGGAUGCGUGGACGCAUACGCGCCGCCUUCUCCUUUCCUCCCUUCCCACCUAUCCGCGUCACUUUUUCCUAGGUUACGCUGUUUUUUCGUCAAUUAUCGUAAUCCGUAAUAAGGCUGAAAAUCUAACCGGAUCUCAACUCGGAGGACUAUUCGUCACAGGAAUCGAUCUCAUCGCGGUUCUCUCUUCGACGACCUCGACCGUUGCGAUAAACGACGUGUCGCGGCAUUCGUAUAAUCGUUCGAUUUGUACACGUCGUUCCUUUGCUCGUAACAAUUUUCGUCGAGGCGAUGUUAAAAGAUUUGCACAUGUCUUCGUUUCUCUUUCGAUUUCCUAUCGACUACGUUUUACACAGAAAGAAUCAUUUUUUUUUCACUCGCGUUGCAUGCUAUUUAUGUAUAUAUGUGUGUGCUUUUAACUAAUCGUUUCUUUCCACUACAUGAUUACUUAAACUACGUAACAAUAGAACUAUUGAACUACGGAAUCACGUAUCUUCGUUUCAUUGUUUUAUCUUUUUUAGUUGAUUUUUCUUCUUUCACAAAUGAUUCAUAGGUAAGUACGAUCCAUCCAAAUAAAACUAAAAAUUUUACUCGUCUACUCGUUAUUCUUUUCGACUGAACAUAUGUGGAAUCAAAACGAAAAACAUCGCGGUAUUUCGUGAAACUUUUCUCCGAUUAUCCUAUUAGCGCCAUCGUCCGAUCAAUUUUUGAAUCUCUUACGUCGUAGUUAAAACCAAUAAUAUCGUACCUAUACUAUCGAUAUCAUUCUGUGAGUUUCGAUUUGAUUCGGUCAAGGAGAAUCGAUACUAUUUUGAUAUUUGUCGAAAAUAUCGAUACAUGAGUUCGAUUUUGAAAAAAAUAUGACAAUAGAUGUUAAAAUAUGAUGUUGGAAUCAUGAACAUGUUUGAUUCCAAAGUACACAUAUCAAAAAAUUACAAAGUUAAUAAAAGACAGCAUCUUUAUCGACAUUAUCGACGGAUAGUCAGUUAAUUAGUUGAGCAUCAUAAUCGUGAGCGCUUUCGUCUUGUUCUUUUUCUUCCUGUAUUCACAUAGUUGAAAAUAAAUCGUUGUAAAAAAAACAUAUGUGUUGAAUUAUUGCGUUACGAACAUCCUUUUUCCUUAAUUCUUUUUCUUUUGUUUAACAAAUGUUAUCAAAUUCAGUGUAUAUAGUAACAAAUCAACAAUUAGAAUCAGUUAAUCGGUGAUAUAGUUGAAUCGAUCUUCAAAUGUGAUUUAUAAAAUGAAAAAAGUAAUGGCGAAUUAUAACGAUCUCGAAAAUAUCAAAUACCGUAUUAAAUCGAUUUAAUAAAAUAACUAAUGACUAAAAUAAAAAAACAAUUUAUUAACGACAAUAUCUAUAAUUACACUAUAAUGUAUCGCGCGUGGGAAGCAGUAUUCCAUUUGAUAUAUCGCUUAGCUUUUUUUUCUUUUUCUUCUUUUUUUCAUCGGACUAUUAAAUGGAUUAACCAUCGUGUAAUCGAUUGAGAACCAGUAAAUGGAAAUUCCUAUUGAGGAUAAGAUUAAAUCGAAUAGUGAUGAUUUUGAAGAUCAAUGUUCGGUGGUUUCGUGCAAAUCCUGACAAAAUUGUAAAAUCAAACGAAAAAAUGACGGGACGAGAGAAGAUUAAGAUAACGAAUUUGGAUAAAUCAUCAACCACAUUCAAACUUCUGAAAACAACUAUUUUCUAUUGGACAUUGUAUUCUGUUCAUCUUUACCUCACAUUUCGUAAGAUAAAUCAAUAAAUAUCAACGCGAACUAACGUUAUAUGCGUAUAUAUAUAUAUAUAUAUAUUUAUAUUAAAAUUAAACGUGCACGCUGAUGAAAUGCGUCUGGAAACACUCAACAAUGAUCAAUAUUGUUUUUGUUGAGAGUUGUGUUACAAAAGAUACGUCCAAUGAUCAGUUGAACGAUCAGCAUAAAAUGUAUAUGUACAUGUACGAUAAUCAGUUUGUGCAACACUAGAGACACUAUUCGUAAUAUUUUUGUUUCGAAGAAAAAAAAAA